CCGGCUGUUCCAUCAGCCGUUCCCUACCCGGACAUGCGGAGCCGGUAACGGCUCGGUGUGAAGCUCUGGGGACAACGUAGCCGCCGGAUAUCCGGUACGUCGAGCCGCGAGGCAAGGCGGAAUCUGCCAGCACGAAGGCGGAGAGGAGC
rfam:Rhizobium tibeticum isolate CCBAT85039 genome assembly, contig: CCBAT85039_contig89